AUGGAUAGGACAGCUUAUGUAAAUGAGUGUCAUAGACAACUGCUUGACAACACCUUUUACAAGAAACUCAGAAGUGACCCUACUUCCCAAUUUCAGAAUACUAUCUUUACUGUCCUAGAUGGUUAUUUAAAUUCUGGUCAGAUAACCAAAAAAGAAUAUGACUUUCUGGCCAUUCAACACCCUAAAAUUGCCACUUUCUAUACUUUGCCGAAAUUACACAAGAAUGUUACAAACCCUCCAGGGCGCCCUAUUGUAGCGGGCAUUGAUGCAGUAACGGCCCCUCUAUCUACUUUUGUUGACUUUUUUAUUAGACCACUCGCAGAACAGCUCCCCUCCUUUGUAAAGGACACCAGCAGUAUGAUCUCUAUCAUUGAAUCUCUUGAUCCUCUCCCUGAGAACACCUUGUUAGUUACUUUUGAUGUUGAGUCGUUAUACACAAAUAUUCCACACGAGGGCGGUAUUGAAGCCAUGGAACAUUUUCUUCUGCAACGUGACCCUAAUGAGCUACCUUCCAGUGCCUGCAUUAUAACAUUGGCUGAAAUAGUACUCACACAUAACUAUUUCAUGUUUCUAAAUGAUUUCUUUAUUCAGACGAAGGGUACUGCUAUGGGAUCCCCCAUGGCUCCUAACUAUGCUAAUUUGUAUGUGGGUUACAUGGAGAAACAAUCCAUUUUCAACCCUCUCAAAAAUGUUUUCUUGCCUAACAUCAUUAUUUGUAAACGGUAUAUUGACAAUAUUUUUGUUCUAUGGAGGGGUGAUGCAGAACUGCUUCAGGCGUUUUAUGCUUUUCUUAACUCCUGUUCUGAACAUUUGAGAUUUACUAUGCAAUCUGAUACACGUCAAAUCAGUUUUCUUGAUCUUCUGAUCUUGUGUGAAGAUAAUGUUCUAUACACUGAUCUUUACAGGAAACCUACUGAUCGUAACAGUUUGUUGAGGGCUGAUAGUUGUCACCCACUUCCCUUGAAAAAUAGUUUGCCCUACAGCCAAUUCUGUCGAAUCAAAAGAAUUUGUAUUAAACAAUCAGAUUGA
rnacentral:lncRNA from 8 species